rnacentral:rRNA from 1 species
UAGUCAUAUGCUUGUCUCAAAGAUUAAGCCAUGCAUGUCUAAGUAUAAACUGCUUUAUACUGUGAAACUGCGAAUGGCUCAUUAAAUCAGUUAUAGUUUAUUUGAUGGUACUUACUUACUCGGAUACCCGUAGUAAUUCUAGAGCUAAUACGUGCGUACAUCCCGACUUCUGGAAGGGACGUAUUUAUUAGAUAAAAGGCCGACCGGGCUUGCCCGACUCGCGGUGACUCAUGAUAACUUCACGAAUCGCAUGGCCUUGCGCCGGCGAUGUUUCAUUCAAAUUUCUGCCCUAUCAACUUUUGAUGGUAGGAUAGAGGCCUACCAUGGUGGUAACGGGUGACGGAGAAUUAGGGUUCGAUUCCGGAGAGGGAGCCUGAGAAACGGCUACCACAUCCAAGGAAGGCAGCAGGCGCGCAAAUUACCCAAUCCUGAUACAGGGAGGUAGUGACAAUAAAUAACAAUACCGGGCCUUUGGUCUGGUAAUUGGAAUGAGUACAACCUAAACACCUUAACGAGGAUCGAUU